rnacentral:rRNA from 1 species
AAGCCGAGGCUAAAGUGCGUAGGCGAAUGGAAAACAGAUUAAUAUUUCUGUGCCAGUUAUAUUUUGUGAUGGAGGGACGCAGAAGGGUAUGCACGCAGGAGAACGGAAGUUCCUGUGGAAGCGCGUAGAGUGAUCUAGUAGGCAAAUCCGCUAGAUUAGACUUGAGGCGUAAAGGAAAGGUGCAAAUCCCACGCUGCCGAGAAAAGCUUCUAACGUUAAGGUAUAACUGCCCGUACCCGAAACCGACACAGGUGGUCAGGAUGAGAAAUCUAAGGCGGACAGGCUAACUCUCGUUAAGGAACUCUGCAAAAUUGCCCCGUAACUUAGGGAGAAGGGGUGCCUCUGAAUGUUAGUAAACACGCGUUACAAAGCGUUUGGAGGUCGCAGUGAAGAGGCUCAAGCAACUGUUUAACAAAAACACAGGUCUAUGCUAAGCUGUAAGGCGAUGUAUAUGGGCUGACACCUGCCCAGUGCCGGAAGGUUAAGAGGAGGAGUGAGAGCUCCGAAUUGAAGCCCCGGUGAACGGCGGCCGUAACUAUAACGGUCCUAAGGUAGCGAAAUUCCUUGUCGGGUAAGUUCCGACCUGCACGAAUGGUGUAAUGAUUUGAGCGCUGUCUUGACGGGAGGCCUGGUGAAAUUGUAUUACCGGUGAAGAUACCGGUUACCUACAGUAGGACGGAAAGACCCCAUGGAGCUUUACUGUAGCUUGGUAUUGGGUUCUGGCAUUGCAUGUAUAGGAUAGUUGGGAAACUAUGAUGGUAUGGCGCUAGCUGUAUCGGAGUUGUCGGUGGAAUACCAACCAUUCAAUGUCGGAAUUCUAAUCUGUGGUUUGUAGCCACGGAAACAGUGCUAGGUGGGCAGUUUGACUGGGGCGGUCGCCUCCGAAAGAGUAACGGAGGCGUUCAAAGGUUCUCUCAGGUUGGAUGGAAAUCAACCGCAGAGUGCAAUGGCAUAAGAGAGCUUGACUGCAAGACUGACGGGUCGAGCAGGUGCGAAAGCAGGACAUAGUGAUCCGGCGAUUCCGAAUGGAAGGGUCGUCGCUCAACGGAUAAAAGCUACCCUGGGGAUAACAGGCUGAUCCUACCCGAGAGUCCAUAUCGACGGUAGGGUUUGGCACCUCGAUGUCGGCUCAUCGCAUCCUGGGGCUGGAGAAGGUCCCAAGGGUUGGGCUGUUCGCCCAUUAAAGCGGUACGUGAGCUGGGUUCAGAACGUCGUGAGACAGUUCGGUCCCUAUCCACUGUAGGCGUAAGAAUAUUGAGAAGAUCUGUCCUUAGUACGAGAGGACCGGGAUGGACAAACCUCUGAUGUACCAGUUGUCACGCCAGUGGCACAGCUGGGUAGUCACGUUUGGAACGGAUAACCGCUGAAAGCAUCUAAGCGGGAAACCAGCUUCAAGAUAAGUAUUCUUUAAGACUCCUUCGAGACUAGGAGGUUGAUAGGUUGGGGGUGUAAGAGUUGUGAGACUUUUAGCUGACCAAUACUAAUAAGUCGAAGUUUUAACCUA